AGCGAACGCUGGCGGCAGGCCUAACACAUGCAAGUCGAACGAUCCUUCGGGAUAGUGGCGGACGGGUGAGUAACACGUGGGAACGUACCUUUAGGUUCGGGAUAACUCAGGGAAACUUGAGCUAAUACCGGAUAAGCCCUUUUGGGGAAAGAUUUAUCGCCUUUAGAGCGGCCCGCGUUAGAUUAGCUAGUUGGUGAGGUAAAGGCUCACCAAGGCUCCGAUCUAUAGCUGGUCUGAGAGGAUGAUCAGCCACACUGGGACUGAGACACGGCCCAGACUCCUACGGGAGGCAGCAGUGGGGAAUCUUGCGCAAUGGGCGAAAGCCUGACGCAGCCAUGCCGCGCGAAUGAUGAAGGUCUUAGGAUUGUAGAAUUCUUUUAGCAGGGACGAUAAUGACGGUACCUGCAGAAAAAGCCCCGGCUAACUUCGUGCCAGCCGCCGCGGUAACAC
rnacentral:rRNA from 1 species